rnacentral:rRNA from 1 species
AGUGAACGCUGGCGGUAGGCCUAACACAUGCAAGUCGAACGGCAGCACAGGAGAGCUUGCUCUCUGGGUGGCGAGUGGCGGACGGGUGAGGAAUACAUCGGAAUCUACUUUUUCGUGGGGGAUAACGUAGGGAAACUUACGCUAAUACCGCAUACGACCUACGGGUGAAAGCAGGGGACCUUCGGGCCUUGCGCGAUUGAAUGAGCCGAUGUCGGAUUAGCUAGUUGGCGGGGUAAAGGCCCACCAAGGCGACGAUCCGUAGCUGAUCUGAGAGGAUGAUCAGCCACACUGGAACUGAGACACGGUCCAGACUCCUACGGGAGGCAGCAGUGGGGAAUAUUGGACAAUGGGCGCAAGCCUGAUCCAGCCAUACCGCGUGGGUGAAGAAGGCCUUCGGGUUGUAAAGCCCUUUUGUUGGGAAAGAAAUCCAGCUGGCUAAUACCCGGUUGGGAUGACGGUACCCAAAGAAUAAGCACCGGCUAACUACGUGCCAGCAGCCGCCGUAA